GACGACGGCCACCGUGCCCAGCCCUAUAAUCUGUCCCGCAAAAGGCCCAGCCCCCUCAGCCCGGCAAGAAGCAGUUCAUCAUCGAGCCCUUCAAAGGUUUGGCCUCGAUCCCAAAGCUCGCGUCUGUCACGCAGAGAAGUAUAUCAGGGUCGUCGCAGAGCCCUUAGAUCGCCACCAUCGCAGCUGCUACUGUCAGUCUCGUGAAAUUAGGAGCCAAAGCCAAGCGCCAAUCAGCCGCCGCUUCCUCCUCCGCGUCAAUUCGCUUUUCUUCUUCUUCUUCUUCUUCUCCAUUACGCUUCUCCCCUCUGACGACGUCGUUUACUGCUUCGUGCUUGAUCGACCAGCUCAGGGCCGUUUUCCCGGACAUGGAUAAUCAGCUGUUAAGGUAUAAAGUUGGACGGAUAGAGCAGCUGGAAACUUCUGAUCAACCAAAAGCCUGAGGUGCCAACGCUUAAAUCAACAUGUAAGUUUGCAUAAUGAUCUGAAGACAAAGUUUAUCGAAGGGGCCAAAGAACGUAAAGAACUCUACAACAAGGUGUUAGAGUUGAAAGGAAACAUAAGGGUCUUUUGCAGGUGUAGGCCUCUAAACACUGAGGAAGUUUCAGCAGGAGCUUCAAUGGCUAUUGACUUUGAAUCUAAGAAAGAAGGUGAGCUUGCUGUCAAGUCAAAUGGGGUUACAAGAAGGACCUUUAAGUUUGAUGCAGUUUUCGGCCCUCAAGCAGACCAAGGUACAUGCAUAUGAUGCAAGUCUUCUGUUGGUUAUCUACUGAAGUACAAAAAACACCUUUGAAUAACAGACAUCCUUUUUGUUUGUCAUAUUAGCUGAUGUCUUCGAAGACACAGCUCCAUUUGCAACCUCAGUUCUAGAUGGGUACAAUGUCUGCAUAUUUGCUUAUGGGCAGACUGAAAGUGGAAAAACCUUUACAAUGGAGGGAACGGAAGAAGCUCGGGGAGUCAAUUUUAGGACUCUUGAGCAACUGUUUCUUAUACUAAAAUAGCGAGAAAAGUUGCAUAGAUAUGAUGUAUCUGUUAGUGUUGUAGAAGUGUACAACGAGCAAAUACGAGAUCUACUUGUUCCAGGGAAUCAGCCGGGAGCAGCUGCCAAAAGGCUUGAAAUUAGACAAGCUGGAGAAGGGAGACAUCAUGUUCCAGGACUUGUUGAGGCAUGUGAAAAACAUGAAUGAAGUCUGGGAAGUUCUCCAAACUGACAGUAAUGCAAGGGCUGUUGGCUCAACCAAUGCCAAUGAGCAUAGUAGCUGUGACUUUGGAUUCAGAUAUUUUUACCAAGAAUUUUGUAUCCCAAUGCAAGUGAAGCAUCUUAGAAUGGUGGUUCUGCACUUUAGACCCGAAUAGAAACCAAAUUCUCACAGAGUGUUGAACCUGCAAUGGCAAUUGUGCCAAUUAUAGCCCAAUCACAGCUUGGGUUACAAGUUAGUCUACUUCCCUGUAUUACAAAGUCAAUUUGCUUGCUUUCUUAUCACUAUUCUUUAUAGCCUUUGAAUUAGUUUUUUGAAGCUUAGAAGUUGGUUUGCAUUCUAUUUUGAAAAUUGAUAUUGGAUAUGCAAUUCAUAAGUCUUUAAUAGGAUUUUUGUAGCUGUUAUACAGAAUGAUAGGAGGAGUACUGUUAUGUGAUAUUCCACAUAUAUGUUGAGCUCUAUCAAUGAAGUUGAUAAUUAACGGGGAUCACAUAUGUUUUUUUUGGGGUCUUAAAGAAUGCUGGACUUGGAGCAUCUUUUGCCAGCUCCCAUUGGUAUUGUUGACUGCAAGACACA